rnacentral:tRNA from 1 species
GGAGCUAUAGCUCAGUGGCAGAGAGCUUGCCUAGCAUGUAUGAGGCACUGGGUUCAAUCCUUAGCACCA